rnacentral:lncRNA from 1 species
UAUUUUCCUAUUAAUAUAAUCUAGUUAAUAUAUGACAAAUUAUGGUAAUUUAACAAAAUAACACCCAUUUGACAUAAUCAAAACAGAGUGUGGAGAGAAAAGUAGACCUCUGUUAUCUUAGAGAAUAUGGCUGUGCUACAGGACAGAAACAGAACCUUCGACCGGAAAAUGAAAUCGGCAAACAUGAACUCAACCCGAACCUCGAACGGACCUCCUUGCACAACGACCUCCGGCGACCUAAUAUGCGAUUGGAACUGGAAAUGGAAUGAACAAAACUCCAACAGUUGAUUUCAAUCAAGGUCAGCAAUUUCGAGAAGAAGAACAAAGCAGUUUUUCUUGUGAGUGAGGUUGACUAAAAAAAAGAACUGUUGCGUGCAAGUAGGGGUCGCCGGUUAUCGUUUGGUUGCUGCUGUGAUUUCGAGCGAGAUUAGGGACUAUUUUGAGGAUGGAAUCACGCAGAUUUUUAGUUGUUGUUUCGGGCGUUUUGGAUAUGGAAUUUUCGUAUGUACAUGAUAAAUUUUUGGUAGUUCAAAUAGUGGGUUAUGUGGGCUAAUUCCCAGUGGUAGAAGGUGGUCGUUUCAGCUGUCUCCGGUGAGCUGUGUGUUUGGUCGGCAGCGGGUAUAAUGGAGACUAGGGUUCUUGAUGUAACCUUCAUAGAUAAGAAGAAGAUGCAGCCAUGGUUU